AAUGUAACAUUUGUAUUACAUUUGUAUUUAUAUAAGAGCUUAGGGUCAGGCAAGGUAGGAAGUACGUAGAAACCUUGAUUUGUUUACUUCUUGCGACUAAAAAUGAUAUUUGGUUUGACGAAUGUAAUCCCAAGAUCUUUCAGGAUACUAUCUCUGUAUCUGUCCAUUAGGUGGAGUCCACUUGAGUGUACUUACGCAAAUUAUAAAUGUUGGGCA
rnacentral:lncRNA from 1 species